GAACGGGUGAGUAACACGUGGAUAACCUGCCUCAAGGCUGGGGAUAACAUUUGGAAACAGAUGCUAAUACCGUAUAACAAUGACAACCGCAUGGUUGUUAUUUAAAAGAUGGUUCUGCUAUCACUAAGAGAUGGUCCCGCGGUGCAUUAGCUAGUUGGUAAGGUAAUGGCUUACCAAGGCAAUGAUGCAUAGCCGAGUUGAGAGACUGAUCGGCCACAAUGGGACUGAGACACGGCCCAUACUCCUACGGGAGGCAGCAGUAGGGAAUCUUCCACAAUGGGCGAAAGCCUGAUGGAGCAACGCCGCGUGUGUGAUGAAGGGUUUCGGCUCGUAAAACACUGUUGUAAGAGAAGAAUGACAUUGAGAGUAACUGUUCAAUGUGUGACGGUAUCUUACCAGAAAGGAACGGCUAAAUACGUGCCAGCAGCCGCGGUAAUACGUAUGUUCCAAGCGUUAUCCGGAUUUAUUGGGCGUAAAGCGAGCGCAGACGGUUAUUUAAGUCUGAAGUGAAAGCCCUCAGCUCAACUGAGGAAUUGCUUUGGAAACUGGAUGACUUGAGUGCAGUAGAGGAAAGUGGAACUCCAUGUGUAGCGGUGAAAUGCGUAGAUAUAUGGAAGAACACCAGUGGCGAAGGCGGCUUUCUGGACUGUAACUGACGUUGAGGCUCGAAAGUGUGGGUAGCAAACAGGAUUAGAUACCCUGGUAGUCCACACCGUAAACGAUGAGUGCUAGGUGUUUGAGGGUUUCCGCCCUUAAGUGCCG
rnacentral:rRNA from 1 species